UACGGGGGGGUGCGAGCGUUAAUCGGAAUUACUGGGCGUAAAGCGUGCGCAGGCGGUUUUGUAAGACAGAUGUGAAAUCCCCGGGCUCAACCUGGGAACUGCGUUUGUGACUGCAAGACUUGAGUGCGGCAGAGGGGGGUAGAAUUCCACGGUGUAGCAGUGAAAUGCGUAGAGAUGUGGAGGAAUACCGAUGGCGAAGGCAGCCCCCUGGGUCGACACUGACGCUCAUGCACGAAAGCGUGGGGAGCAAACAGG
rnacentral:rRNA from 1 species